CGCGGCAUCGGCGGUAACGGUAACGCCCCUAUCUGUCAUCAGCCAUCACCCCGCCUGGUAACACAGCGCUGCCCUCCUGCCCUGUGCUUGGGUUCUACGUAUGGAAACUCGCGCUUAUCAGACAGCAAGAGGGCGAGCACAACGGCAAGGUGCUGGUGCAGGGAGUAGACACCAGCAACAUUCCCCAUCCCCUUCCCGAUCACCCUCCCCCUCUCCGGCCCAAUCCCCCUCUCCUGCCACCUCACCCUCUCCUGCCCAAUCCCCCUCUCCGCAAACCUCACCCUCUCCAGCCACCUCACCCUCUCCUGCCCCCUCACCCUCUCCUGCCCAAUCCCCCUCUCCGCAAACCUCACCCUCUCCAGCCACCUCACCCUCUCAUGCCCCCUCACCCUCUCCUGCCCAAUCCCCCUCUCCGCAAACCUCACCCUCUCCAGCCACCUCACCCUCUCAUGCCCCCUCACCCUCUCCUGCCCAAUCCCCCUCUCCGCAAACCUCACCCUCUCCAGCCACCUCACCCUCUCAUGCCCCCUCACCCUCUCCUGCCCAAUCCCCCUCUCCGCCAACCUCACCCUCUCCAGCAACCUCUGCAUCAUUUUGCAAAACCUCCUCUCCAGCCCAAGCCCACUCUCUUUCCCAAACCCCCUUUCCAGCCCACACCCCCUCUCCAGACCAAUCCCACUCUCUUACCAAAUUCCCCUCUCUGCCCCCCUCCCCCUCUGUGUCCCAAAAAAACACACCACCACCCUCACCCUAUCAUUCCCAAACACCCUCUGACAGUACCUCCCCCUUCCAUCCUCUCACCCAAUUGGACCCUCCUUCCCCCAUCCUGCCUUCUUCCCCCAUCCAGCACCCAUCCCCAAUCCUCACCCAUCCAGCCUCCAUUCCCCAGCCAGCACCCAUCCCCCAUCCAGCCUCCAUCCCCCAGCCAGCAAACCUCGCUGACAGAAUGGGCAGCAGAGGCCCCGGAGCCACUAGAGGGAGGUGUCCAAGUGGCAGAGGAGAAUGGUGCCAUUGGAGAUCCCACAAGGCUGGCAGGCAUCGUUGGCCAUUUGAGAUUUCAAUUGGAGGCCAUGUUGGCUGAAGUGAAUCAGUUAGCCAAUUUAAUUUAAGUUUUAUUUAAA